GUUUGUCAGAGUAAUGAUAAUAACCUUGGAUCUUGCAAGUUGACUACAUUAUUGAAAUGAUAUGUUUUCUACUAAUUCCUUUUGUGUUUCAAUAGUAGAUUAUGAUGACCUCAAACCAAGAAUCCAGUGACUAAAAAUGUAAUACCCCAAUUGCCUAUAAAUAUUAAGAAAGAGGGAAUUUGUGGGUAGCCACUCCAAAUUUAGGCAUCUUUAGUCCUGAUGAACCAUGGGGGUCUGAAAGAUUGCUGUAGUCUCAUGCAGCAGUGCCAUGACUGGUUCUCCAUCUUUUCCCAUGGUUGGAUAAUAAGGUGUGGUCCUGGGAGUAGCCCUAGGAGUAGGUGCAACCCAGAAGAAUUGAGUGUGGGGAGCCACUCUGAAUGAUCUGCUCCUUCCAUCAUGGAGGGGAGAUGCUUUGACUGGCACUACAUAUUAUAGUGACCUGGAAAUUGUCCUGGUCCCGGAAGUUUGAGGGUAUGUCUUAAGACAUAGGCAUGUCACCCCAUGGCCCUUUGGGUUGAAUUACACUCACAUGUCCUUUGUAACCCUGCCACCUCUGAACUUUUUUUGAUGGAACUUUCUAAGAAUGAGGGUCCCCCAAUAAAAGCCCAUUCCUGAGUAUGCUCAUUCUCUCUCACCAGCCUCUCUUGACUUUCACUUGCUCUCCCAUUUGGGGAGCCUGAGGCAGACAGCAGGGAAACCAUCCUGAAGCUUGAUUAAAGGUAAAGUGUGUGUCUGUGUUUUCUUUGGUGUCCCUGGAAAUUCACAUGAAGGACCUUAGGUUCAGCUGCCCACAUGGGCACCAGUUGAGUUACACUCGCCUGUUCCCUUGUAAUCCUACACCUUGCCUAAUUUGAAUGGCUUCUUCCCAAUGAAAAGGUUCAGUAAGUGCUUCUCUCUCUCUUUCAACAGACCCCAAGGUUGCAGGAUC
rnacentral:lncRNA from 1 species